GUCCAGGGGCGGAGAAUCGAACCCACAACCUUCCGCUUACCGGGCAGAUGCCAUGUCCACUAGGCUACCCUGGA
rnacentral:tRNA from 1 species